CAACAAACGCAACUCCUGCAGCAAACGGUCCAAGAACUCAAACUACAGCACCUUACCUACGAGCAGCGCAUAGCAAAUCUAGAGGAUCGAAGUCGCAGCCGGAAAAUUAAAAUCUGAGGCAUUGAAGAGGAGAUUCCAGAGACUGAGCUCCCUCACACACUGCGGAGACUACUACAGACACUCCUACCUCCCAAGCAAGCCAGACAGGUGCCCAUAGAAAAC